UACGAAGGGUGCAAGCGUUAAUCGGAAUUACUGGGCGUAAAGCGUGCGUAGGCGGUUGGCUAAGUCAGAUGUGAAAGCCCUGGGCUCAACCUGGGAAUGGCAUUUGAAACUGGCCGGCUAGAGUGUGAUAGAGGAUGGCGGAAUUCCCGGUGUAGCGGUGAAAUGGGUAGAGAUCGGGAGGAACAUCCGUGGCGAAGGCGGCCAUCUGGAUCAACACUGACGCUGAGGCACGAAAGCGUGGGGAGCAAACAGG
rnacentral:rRNA from 1 species